ACGCUCGACACCUACAGGAGGCAGCAGUAGGGAAUCUUCCACAAUGGGCGCAAGCCUGAUGGAGCAACACCGCGUGAGUGAAGAAGGGUUUCGGCUCGUAAAGCUCUGUUGUUGGAGAAGAACGUGCGUGAGAGUAACUGUUCACGCAGUGACGGUAUCCAACCAGAAAGUCACGGCUAACUACGUGCCAGCAGCNCGGUACGUACUCGUAGGACGGGCCGGUCGGUCGAACGGACGC
rnacentral:rRNA from 1 species